GACGAACGCUGGCGGCGUGCUUAACACAUGCAAGUCGAACGAUGAAGCCUAGCUUGCUAGGUGGAUUAGUGGCGAACGGGUGAGUAAUACGUGAGUAACCUACCUUUAACUCUGGGAUAAGCCUGGGAAACUGGGUCUAAUACCGGAUACGACCAAUCUCCGCAUGGGGUGUUGGUGGAAAGCGUUAUGUAGUGGUUAUAGAUGGGCUCACGGCCUAUCAGCUUGUUGGUGAGGUAACGGCUCACCAAGGCGACGACGGGUAGCCGGCCUGAGAGGGUGACCGGCCACACUGGGACUGAGACACGGCCCAGACUCCUACGGGAGGCAGCAGUGGGGAAUAUUGCACAAUGGGCGCAAGCCUGAUGCAGCGACGCCGCGUGAGGGAUGACGGCCUUCGGGUUGUAAACCUCUGUUAGCAGGGAAGAAGAGAGAUUGACGGUACCUGCAGAGAAAGCGCCGGCUAACUACGUGCCAGCAGCCGCGGUAAUACGUAGGGCGCGAACGUUGUCCGGAAUUAUUGGGCGUAAAGAGCUUGUAGGCGGUUUGUCGCGUCUGCUGUGAAGGCCGGAGCUUAACUCCGUGUAUUGCAGUGGGUACGGGCAGACUAGAGUGCAGUAGGGGAGACUGGAAUUCCUGGUGUAGCGGUGGAAUGCGCAGAUAUCAGGAGGAACACCGAUGGCGAAGGCAGGUCUCUGGGCUGUAACUGACGCUGAGAAGCGAAAGCAUGGGGAGCGAACAGGAUUAGAUACCCUGGUAGUCCAUGCCGUAAACGUUGGGCACUAGGUGUGGGGAACAUUCCACGUUUUCCGCGCCGUAGCUAACGCAUUAAGUGCCCCGCCUGGGGAGUACGGCCGCAAGGCUAAAACUCAAAGAAAUUGACGGGGGCCCGCACAAGCGGCGGAGCAUGCGGAUUAAUUCGAUGCAACGCGAAGAACCUUACCAAGGCUUGACAUAUACUGGACCGCAUCAGAGAUGGUGUUUCCCUUCGGGGCUGGUAUACAGGUGGUGCAUGGUUGUCGUCAGCUCGUGUCGUGAGAUGUUGGGUUAAGUCCCGCAACGAGCGCAACCCUCGUUCUAUGUUGCCAGCACGUUAUGGUGGGGACUCAUAGGAGACUGCCGGGGUCAACUCGGAGGAAGGUGGGGAUGACGUCAAAUCAUCAUGCCCCUUAUGUCUUGGGCUUCACGCAUGCUACAAUGGCCGGUACAGAGGGUUGCGAUACUGUGAGGUGGAGCUAAUCCCUAAAAGCCGGUCUCAGUUCGGAUUGGGGUCUGCAACUCGACCCCAUGAAGUCGGAGUCGCUAGUAAUCGCAGAUCAGCAACGCUGCGGCGAAUACGUUCCCGGGCCU
rnacentral:rRNA from 1 species